rfam:Triticum aestivum genome assembly, contig: Triticum_aestivum_CS42_TGACv1_scaffold_225133_3B
AAAGUACUCUCUCUGUCCGGAAAUACUUAUCGCAGGAAUGGAUGUAUCUAGACGUAUUUUAAUUCUAGAUACAUUCAUUUUUAUGCAUUUCUCCGACAAGUAUUUCUGUACGGUGGGAGUACAUU